rnacentral:rRNA from 1 species
UACGGAGGGUGCAAGCGUUAAUCGGAAUCACUGGGCGUAAAGCGCACGUAGGCGGUGCCGUAAGUCGGAUGUGAAAGCCCUCGGCUCAACCGGGGAACUGCAUUCGAUACUGCGGUGCUUGAGUGUCGGAGAGGGUGGCGGAAUUCCAGGUGUAGGAGUGAAAUCCGUAGAUAUCUGGAGGAACACCAGUGGCGAAGGCGGCCACCUGGCCGACAACUGACGCUGAGGUGCGAAAGCGUGGGGAUCAAACAGGAUUAGAUACCCUGGUAGUCCACGCUGUAAACGAUGGAUGCUAGGUGUCGGGGGUUUACCCUCGGUGCCGCAGUUAACGCGUUAAGCAUCCCGCCUGGGGAGUACGGUCGCAAGGCUGAA